rnacentral:rRNA from 1 species
GAAGACGAUCAGAUACCGUCGUAGUUCUGACCUUAAACGAUGCCAACUNGCGAUCCGCCGGAGUUGCUUCAAUGACUCGGNGGGCAGCCUCCGGGAAACCAAAGUNUUUGGGUUCCGGGGGGAAGAUGGNNGCAAAGCUGAAACUUAAAGGAAUUGACGGAAGGGCACCACCAGGAGUGGAGCCUGCGCUUAAUUU